AACGCAUCUUGCGCUCCUUGGUAUUCCGAGGAGCAUGCCUGUUUGAGUGUCAUUAAUCUCUCAACCACACCAAUCUUUUUGGUUUGAUGUGGCUUUUGGAUGUGGGGGUUUUGUAUUUUGCUGGCUUCUAUUAAAUGAGGUCAGCUCCCCUGAAACUUAUUAGCGGUAUCUGAGCAGAGAGACCUACUACAGGUGUGAUAAAUUAUCUAUGCCUUGGUCAUGCUGCAUAAACAGAUUGUGCUGCUUCCAGUGAAUCAUUUGACAAAUUUGACCUCAAAUCAGGUAGGACUACCCGCUGAACUUAA
rnacentral:misc_RNA from 1 species